AAAAAUACGAAUUAAAACAAUUCGAACAAUAUACUCUGCCGAAGUAAGAAAAAUUAACUCAUCUAUGAAGAGUGGAGCAUCAACUGACGACCUAUAUACACCUACUUGUGGAUGGUUCAAAAUUGCUGAUGGUUUUCUAUGAAAUACAGUUGUUUUACGUGAAACGCAUGAUAAUUUGGCAAGCCAAGUAUCAUCCAAUGAUGGUGUUUCAGAAGAUUUACCUAGUACGUCGGAACAUUCACCAGCUAGGACAACCCAAGCCAAUUCUGAAAUAAUUGAAGUUAUCCCGAGGGUUACUCAAACACCUAAGCGUAAAAAAAUAAUUCAGAAAAAUGAUCCUGCUACUACAGCUGUAGAAAAAUUAGAAAAUAUAUGCAAAACUAGUGCAGACGCAUUACAGGAGGAUGAAUUUGAAAUUUAUGGAAGAUACAUAGCCUCGCAGCUAAGAUCGAUAGACCUAGAAAGAGCUAUUGAUGUUCAAAAUCAGAUUAACAACAUUUUAUCAAAGUCAAGAAUAGAAGACAUCAAAUGCAAAAAGAGUCUCCACAACACUUUUUCAAUUCCUCAUCCGGAAGAGAGUUUAGUAGAUAUAAAUUCACCACCACCAAGUAACCAGACUAAAGUUGAGGUAUAUUCAGAAGAGGAUAGUGAUAUAACGUUUAUUGAAAAACCUGGGCAUUCUAGUGACAUUUUGUCACAAGCUGUGAAUACUAUUUUCCGAUAUACUGAU
rnacentral:lncRNA from 1 species